GAGAAGCAAGACAAAAGUGACAGAUGU
rnacentral:piRNA from 1 species